GGCCUAACACAUGCAAGUCGAGCGGUAGCACAGGGAGCUUGCUCCUGGGUGACGAGCGGCGGACGGGUGAGUAAUGUCUGGGAAACUGCCUGAUGGAGGGGGAUAACUACUGGAAACGGUAGCUAAUACCGCAUAACGUCUUCGGACCAAAGAGGGGGACCUUCGGGCCUCUUGCCAUCAGAUGUGCCCAGAUGGGAUUAGCUAGUAGGUGAGGUAAUGGCUCACCUAGGCGACGAUCCCUAGCUGGUCUGAGAGGAUGACCAGCCACACUGGAACUGAGACACGGUCCAGACUCCUACGGGAGGCAGCAGUGGGGAAUAUUGCACAAUGGGCGCAAGCCUGAUGCAGCCAUGCCGCGUGUAUGAAGAAGGCCUUCGGGUUGUAAAGUACUUUCAGCGAGGAGGAAGGCGUUAAGGUUAAUAACCUUGGCGAUUGACGUUACUCGCAGAA
rnacentral:rRNA from 1 species